AGUGGUGGAUAUGUGAGAGAAAAAAAAAAAGAGAGAGAAAAAGCUGGUGAAUGCAAGAGUUAACAAGUAUCAUCAUUCUCUCAUCUCUUUCCCCAGUAAACACAGUAACACACUUUUAUUCUUAAUCUCCCUCCAACAACUUCAUUCUUUUGCAAGGAGAGAACAAAGACACACUCACACUAGAUUUGACACUUAGGGUCUGUAUUACAAGUCCAAUCCGAGAAGUUUUGGGUCCCUACAAAGGUCGGUUUAGGGUCUGUAUUAUAAGUCCAAUCCAAGAAGUUUUGGGUCCCUACAAAGGUCGGUUUAGGGUCUGUAUUACAAGUCCAAUCCAAGAAGUUUUGGGUCCCUACAAAGGUCGGUUUAGGGUCUGUAUUACAAGUCCAAUCCAAGAAGUUUUGGGUCCCUACAAAGGUCGGUUUAGGGUCUGUAUUAUAAGUCCAAUCCGAGAAGUUUUGGGUCCCUACAAAGGUCGGUUUAGGGUCUGUAUUAUAAGUCCAAUCCAAGAAGUUUUGGGUCCCUACAAAGGUCGGUUUAGGGUCUGUAUUAUAAGUCCAAUCCGAGAAGUUUUGGGUCCCUACAAAGGUCAGUUUAGGGGCUGUAUUAGAAGUCCAAUCCCAAAAGUUUUGGGUCCC